UCGAACGAGUUCUCGUUGAUGAUCGGUGCUUGCACCGAGAUUCAACAUGGAACGAGUGGCGGACGGGUGAGUAACACGUGGGUAACCUGCCCUUAAGUGGGGGAUAACAUUUGGAAACAGAUGCUAAUACCGCAUAGAUCCAAGAACCGCAUGGUUCUUGGCUGAAAGAUGGCGUAAGCUAUCGCUUUUGGAUGGACCCGCGGCGUAUUAGCUAGUUGGUGAGGUAAUGGCUCACCAAGGCGAUGAUACGUAGCCGAACUGAGAGGUUGAUCGGCCACAUUGGGACUGAGACACGGCCCAAACUCCUACGGGAGGCAGCAGUAGGGAAUCUUCCACAAUGGACGCAAGUCUGAUGGAGCAACGCCGCGUGAGUGAAGAAGGCUUUCGGGUCGUAAAACUCUGUUGUUGGAGAAGAAUGGUCGGCAGAGUAACUGUUGUCGGCGUGACGGUAUCCAACCAGAAAGCCACGGCUAACUACGUGCCAGCAGCCGCGGUAAUACGUAGGUGGCAAGCGUUAUCCGGAUUUAUUGGGCGUAAAGCGAGCGCAGGCGGUUUUUUAAGUCUGAUGUGAAAGCCCUCGGCUUAACCGAGGAAGCGCAUCGGAAACUGGGAAACUUGAGUGCAGAAGAGGACAGUGGAACUCCAUGUGUAGCGGUGAAAUGCGUAGAUAUAUGGAAGAACACCAGUGGCGAAGGCGGCUGUCUGGUCUGUAACUGACGCUGAGGCUCGAAAGCAUGGGUAGCGAACAGGAUUAGAUACCCUGGUAGUCCAUGCCGUAAACGAUGAAUGCU
rnacentral:rRNA from 1 species